AGCUCCCCCACCCGGCCCUCGUCCUCCCCGCAGAGGACUAGGUGUUUGAACACAGAAGUGGAAUUUGACGUUCAUUCCUAUUAGAUAGUCUUAAGAGGCCAUCAAGUCUUCUCAGCUGUCCAUCGUCCAAUAUGUCUGUCAUCCCUCCAGGUGUUCCACAUCAUGGAUGUAAAUGGGCUUCUUCCAAGCUCCCCCCAACCCCCAGCCCUGAGUCUCCCUUCCCAGCCCUGACUUUCUCCCUUCUAAGUCCUGUCUCAGCUCCCACCUUCUUCACAGCUCCAACCUAGUCCAUUCCAAGCUCCUUCCCAGCCCUGACCUUCUCCCUUCUAAGUCCUGUCUCAGCUCCCACCUUCUUCACAGCUCCAGCCUAGUCCAUUCCAAGCUCCUUCCCAGCCCUGACCUUCUCCCUUCUAAGUCCUGUCUCAGCUCCCACCUUCUUCACAGCUCCAACCUAGUCCAUUCCAAGCUUCUUCCUAGACCUGACCUUCUCCCUUCUAAGUCCUGUCUCAGCUCCCACCUUCUUCACAGCUCCAACCUAGUCCAUUCCAAGCUCCUUCCCGGCCCUGGCCUUCUCCCUUUCUAAGUCCUGUCUCAGCUCCGACCUUCUUCACAGCUCCAACCUGGUCCUUUCCAAGCUCCUUCCCAGCCCUGGCCUUCUCCCUUCUAAGUCCUGUCUCAGCUCCCACCUUCUUCACAGCUCCAACCUGGUCCUUUCCAAGCUCCUUCCUGGCCCUGACCUUCUCCCUUCUGAGUCCUGUCUCAGCUCCCACCUUCUUCACAGCUCCAACCUGGUCCAUUCCAAGCUCCUUCCUGGCCCUGACCUUCUCCCUUCUGAGUCCUGUCUCAGCUCCGACCUUCUUCACAGCUCCAACCUAGUCCAUUCCAAGCUCCUUCCCAGCCCUGACCUUCUCCCUUCUGAGUCCUGUCUCAGCUCCCACCUUCUUCACAGCUCCAACCUGGUCCAUUCCAAGCUCCUUCCCAGCCCUGACCUUCUCCCUUCUGAGUCCUGUCUCAGCUCCCACCUUCUUCACAGCUCCAACCUAGUCCAUUCCAAGCUCCCUCCCAGCUCCAAUGUCUCCUCUAAGACUUCUCUGGGCUCUGAGGUUCCCCGUUCUAAGCUCUCUUCCAAACUGGGCGUUUCUAGGUCCCAAGAAUCCUUCCAGUUCUCACAGUCUGCGCUCCAUCUUGGGAAGUUCCUCCCUUCCACCUCGGGAUCCAGGGUCCUGCGCCCAGCGUUCCUGCAGCUCUGAUCUUCUUGUGCCAAGAUCUGUCCCCAUUCUGAGACUCCGUUUUCUGUGCAGGUUCCGAGAGCCUUCCUUUGUCUGUCUAAGAUCCUGGCCAUCUCCGAAGCUCUGUCCGCUCUGCUCUAAGGUCUUCUGGCUCUGAAGUGACAGGACUGGACAUCGUGGGUCUCCCUCCCAAGGCCCCUCCCAGCUCCGGCGCGCUGCUCUUGGGUGGCUUCAGUGAACUCCCAGAAGCUGGCCGGCCAGCAUUGGGACAAGCACAGCAGAGGAGAAAGGCAGCUGACCCGAAGACUGGAAGACUCGUCUCCAUGCCGAGGCUGACUCUUACAGACUGGGGGGAGCGAUGGAGGGGCUCCUGGAGGCUGGCCAGCUGGGUUUGGGUGGCUCUUCCCCAUCUUCAUUGUCUCCUCUGUGGAGGUGAGGAUCCUGGUCAGGGAGAACCGGUGUAAAAACCAAAAGAGACAAAUCAUUUAAAAAAUGGAAACCACCAGGGAGUCCAUAAAUGAAUCCAAUUCACAUC
ensembl:lncRNA